rnacentral:lncRNA from 1 species
UUACAGUUUAAGUGCUGCAUCUGGCAGCAGGGAGUCUUAAAAUGUUUUAAUGCCCCAGCUAGGGAUAAAGCAAAUGGCUGUAGCCCCUGUACUAGCCAGCACUUCACAGCAAUGAGCAGAAGCUCUGACUCCUACUUAUUGGGGGCAGAGUGCAGGAGUCUUAGAGGGUGGAAAGAGGAAAGAGCACCUUGGUGCGGCACUGCCUUCCCGGGGAACAGAGAAGGCAUGAACUGGGGCAGUGACUGGCCACUGUGUUUGCCCCACCAGCCUUCCCUUCAUUCCUGCUUGGGGGCAGAGGGGACAUUGUCCAGCACUGUCCAGAAGUGCAGAAGCCACAUGAGGGCAUCAGUGAGGAGCAAGUUGUGCUGCUGGCUGACAAAUCAGCUUCUGUGCCCAGAGCCUGAGGAGGCUUGGCAUCCCCAGCCUGAGCCAGUUCAGGAGGCCCAGCUGGCUUCCUGCUCAGGUGCUGAGCUCUGUGCCUCUGGAAAGCCCCAGAUGUCCUGCCAAGUCCUGGGUAGGGAUGUGAUGAGGGAGACAGGGCUCUGGUCCUGGUACCUACAAUCACUGCUUAGGACCAGAAACUUCAGAGGUUUCCAGCCCAGACACAUGAGGUAUGUGUGGAGGAAGUGGUGGAGGAAAAAGUCAAGAUGCAUAGGGAAAAAUAUGACCGUUAUCCAGACACUCCUGGCUUUGACUCCAAGCCCCACCAUUUGGUGCCUGUGUGACUUUGGCCAUGUUACUUAACCUCUCUGAGUGGUAGCUCCUGUGUAAAGAAAGGUUAAUCAUGUCUCCUUGCUGGGUUCACUUAUAUAAGAAAAAUCAGGCAAGGUUAAUCCAUCAUGUUCCAAGUCAGGAUCAAGGUUACCCUGGGGUGUGGGUGUUAGUGACUGGAUGGAGAUAUGAGGGGGCUUCUGGGAACUCAUGGUUUCAUUUAUCCAUCUGCUACUGGUUAUGUGAGUUCACUUUGUGAAACUUUGGUGAGCUGUACACUGAUUAGUGUACUUUCCUCAGUCUUUGUUACACUUCAAUAAAAAAGCUUUUCUUUAAACAACUGAUUCUGGACCUCAUGCUUUGCAGGCAUUCAACAAAUGCCCUCCUUCUUCUGUCACCCCAGAGAAGACAAAUAGGGACAUCUUCUGAGGUGAAAAAUACUCAAAUAUUCCAGGCUUACAGUUUUAAGUGGUGGAGAAAUUCCCAGUCUGAGGAGACUGCACAGAGGACAGCAUGGCAGAAACAAUCUCCAGACCAAUACAAUGAGGAACUGGGCCCAGCGGUCAUAGAGCAGAGGUGGAGGUGGGAAGGGGCACCAUGCAGGGAAAGCAUUUGACCCUGAAGGGUGGAGUCAUGGGAUUUCCAGGGUCUCUGGCACCCUGACAUGCAUGUUCAGGUUCCACAUCUCCCUGAAGAGUAGGUACCAUGCCCAGAUUGAGUAAUAAGACCUCCAGGUGAAGCUGAAUGGGCAG